UCCCAGCAAUCUUCUCGCCAGUCGACGUCGUUUACUUAUAAGAGAUAGGUUAUGGUAACAUUAGACCUCAUCGAGUUGGAGCGUGAUAAGCUGGAACUGUUCGUCAAGAUAGUUACUAUGUUCGGGAUGUUGCUGCUCCUGGCCGUGAUGAUCUUCAGAAGCUAGAGGACCGCUGUUCGGAUCAAGUAGGCUUCACGCCAGUCCCGACAAAAAUUAUAGAGCUAACGGCCGCGGUUCAGCAUGGACUCCAUUCGACGACCCAACUUCAUUAUAGGAACAUAAAUUUCGCCGCUGCGGCGCCAAUUUGUUCUUAACUGAUAUUGAUAACAUUUUAUCCUAACUAUUAUGUAACUUUUUAAGCGAAUAAUAUUUUAAUCAAAUGCU
rnacentral:lncRNA from 1 species